rnacentral:rRNA from 1 species
GAGUUUGAUCCUGGCUCAGGAUGAACGCUGGCGGCGUGCUUAACACAUGCAAGUCGAGCGAAGCACUUUGGAAAGAUUCUUCGGAUGAUUUCCUUUGUGACUGAGCGGCGGACGGGUGAGUAACGCGUGGGUAACCUGCCUCAUACAGGGGGAUAACAGUUAGAAAUGACUGCUAAUACCGCAUAAGACCACGGUACCGCAUGGUACAGUGGUAAAAACUCCGGUGGUAUGAGAUGGACCCGCGUCUGAUUAGGUAGUUGGUGGGGUAACGGCCUACCAAGCCGACGAUCAGUAGCCGACCUGAGAGGGUGACCGGCCACAUUGGGACUGAGACACGGCCCAGACUCCUACGGGAGGCAGCAGUGGGGAAUAUUGCACAAUGGAGGAAACUCUGAUGCAGCGACGCCGCGUGAAGGAUGAAGUAUUUCGGUAUGUAAACUUCUAUCAGCAGGGAAGAAAAUGACGGUACCUGACUAAGAAGCCCCGGCUAACUACGUGCCAGCCGCCGCGGUAAUUC